rnacentral:lncRNA from 1 species
CGGGCCGCCCGGGUCCCCGGCAGCGGGGUAGGAUGGCGCUAAAGCGGAUCCAGAAGGAAUUAACCGACUUGCAGAGGGAUCCUCCUGCCCAGUGUUCUGCAGGACCUGUCGGUGAUGACUAAUGACAGUCCUUACCAAGGAGGUGUUUUCUUCCUGACCAUCCACUUUCCUACAGAUUACCCGUUCAAGCCCCCAAAGGUGAGGUCCCUCUCCCAACUCCCCUGAUGUUUGGAUGAAGGACAGCAUGUGACAAGGGGCCCUUCAAGUCAGGUAUAGGUAAAAAGAGCUGUACGUGGGGUUUCUCUGAGGGCCCACUGCUCCACCCUGUGGUGACAGUUUCCCAGGACUUUAAUUACUGGACUUUGAGAAUUAGCACCUGUUGUGAUCAAGGGUCAGUGGGGUGAGCUGGUGCUGGCCUUACUGAGGCCACAGUUUGAAUGCUUCUCCUUGUGACUGUAGCUGAGUCUGGUCAUGUCUCCAGGCUCUGGCUCCCUUCUCUGCAGUCCCUUAGAGUUAGGACAGGGGUUCUCAGCUGGGGUGAUUUUGCUACUGCCCCAGGGACAUUUGAGCAACAUCUUAGGAUAUUUUGGGUUAUCAAAACUGUGGUGAGGGAGUACUACUGGUAUCUAGUCGGCAAAGGCCAGGGUAUUCCAGGGAUUCCCUGCAGUGCACAGGAGAGCCACCCUUCCCAUGACAGAUAAUGAUCAGCCCCAAGUGUCAAUAGUGCCAAGGUGGACACACCCUGGUUUAGGACUGGUGAGUCACACCUUCACUUUUCUUUAUUAAGUUAAAAGAAUAGCAAGCCUCCUUUGCCCUUCAUGCACACACCAUCCCAUCAGUGGAGCUUUAGAGGGCAGUGCCACCAAAGGGAAGGAGAAGCCCAGGGAGCUGCCUCGACCACCCUGCCCUAGCAUGUCUUGUGCACCGCAGGUCGUCUCACUCCCUGGACCCUUGGACCUCAUACUCCUUCUCACCUGGGCUCUGCAUGGGUGGCCGAGCCUGCCCUGAGGCUCAUAGUCCUGUGGAGGAGACAGGGCAUUUAGCAUGUGAGCUACUCAGCACUGGGAAGGAGCACAAGCAGUGGUUGGCAGCAGGAGCCAGGGUGGUGGAGAGAUUGCCCUGAGAAAGGGGAACUGCAGGAGCUCAGCAAGAGGGCGGACAGGUCCCCAGGAAACUGCCCCAGGGGAGUGAGCCUGUGAGGAGUUGGGAAGGAGGCCAGAGGGGUACGGAUGGCCCCAGGAGUAGGGUCUGCACGCCGUUGUGGGGAUCGCCACACCGACACAAUCACUCUGCUGCCUUGUGGAGAAGAGGCUGGGGUUCAAGUGAUUCUCCUGCUUCAGCCUCCUGAGUAGCUGGGACUACAGGCACUCGCCACCACACGUGGCUAAUUUUUGUGUUAUUUUUAGUAGAGACAGGGUUUCACAAUGUUGGCCAAGCUGGUCUCGAACUCCUGGCCUUAGGUGAUCCACCCACCUCCGCCUCCCAAAGUGCUGGGAUUCCAAGUGUGAGCCACCACGCUUG